CCUACGGGAGGCUGUAGUGAGGAAUAUUGGUCAAUGGACGAGAGUCUGAACCAGCCAAGUAGCGUGAAGGAUGACUGCCCUAUGGGUUGUAAACUUCUUUUAUAUGGGAAUAAAAUGUUCCACGUGUGGGCUUUUGUAUGUACCAUAUGAAUAAGGAUCGGCUAACUCCGUGCCAGCAGCCGCGGUAAUACGGAGGAUCCGAGCGUUAUCCGGAUUUAUUGGGUUUAAAGGGAGCGUAGGUGGAUUGUUAAGUCAGUUGUGAAAGUUUGCGGCUCAACCGUAAAAUUGCAGUUGAAACUGGCAGGCUUGAGUACAGUAGAGGUGGGUGGAAUUCGUGGUGUAGCGGUGAAAUGCUUAGAGAUCACGAAGAAUGCCGAUUGCGAAGGCAGCUCACUGGACUGCAACGGACACUGAGGCGCGAAAGUGUGGGUAUCAAACAGGAUUAGAUACCCGAGUAGUC
rnacentral:rRNA from 1 species